UGAUCAGAGGAGCUGGGCUCCUUGCGAGCUCAACCUAUUCUCAAACUUUCAAUGGGUGAGACGUCUCGCUGGCUUCACUGCAGCGACGACUCUGAAUCCGAGUGCCCAGUGGGCCACUUUUGGUAAGCAGAACUGGCGAUGCGGGAUGAACCGCAUGUCGAGUUAAGGUGCCUAAGCGGACGCAAAUCAGAUACCAUGAAAGGUGUUGAUUGCUCACGACAGCAGGACGGUGGCCAUGGAAGUCGGCAUCCGCUAAGGAGUGUGUAACAACUCACCUGCCGAAGCAAUCAGCCCUGAAAAUGGAUGGCGCUAAAGCGUUCCACCGAUACUCGACCGUCGUCGGCACGCGACCGGCCCCUGGGGCGGUCUCAGGCCACGACGAGUAGGGCGGCGCGGCGGUGAGCGUCGAAGGCGUAGCCGUGAGGCUAGCUGGAGCCGCCGUCGGUGCAGAUCUUGGUGGUAGUAGCAAAUACACAAGCAAGAUCCUUGUGGACCGAUGUGGAGAAGGGUUCCGCGCGAACAGUACUUGGACGUGGGUGAGUCGGCCCUAAGCCAACGGGUAAUUCCCGCAUCCCG
rnacentral:rRNA from 1 species